GGUGGUUCUCAGGUGACACACCCUGGAAACAGGCUCCCUUCUCUCUGGUUCCGGGUACAUCACCCCAAGAACCACU
rfam:Myotis davidii contig22501, whole genome shotgun sequence.